CCGAGGGCUUGUGACACAUGGUGGGCUGUAUGGGAAAGGCACUUUGGCAUGGCACAGGGCAUCUUUGGGGAUGUUUAGGGAAGGAAUACACAAGCUGGGACAAGAGAGAGCUGUAGGUCAUUGGGAGAGGAACAAGCAUAGGCAAAGUGGAGGGGCAAAGGCCUUAAAAAGGCCUUUGUGGACCAGGGGUGUCUUCAUGGAAAAUGCCAGGCCUCUGGUGUUGCACUAUAUUAGGAACGGCGAGAAGUACAACACAGACUCUCUCAUGGGUUGUACAAGAUAGCGAAGUUUAUUAUCUCUGAUUUUCAUUUAUAGUCAGGUCUGAAAAGGUCUGAGAAGUAAAACUCUCAUUGGUUGUUAAACUUACAUGUCACUGUCAUUGGUCAAGUGGAACAUCACCCUUGAUUGUUUCUUGCAAGUAAACAACAAGGAUCCUAAACAACACCUGCAAAAGGAUGCUGUCCUUCUUCAAGGACUGUUUGGAUUGUUCCUGAUGCUUCCUCAGGCCACAAUGAGAAUCAUGUGAGACUUAGUUCAACACUGGUUCUUUGUUCUAUUCUUGCUUUUUUCAUUUAGCAUUUCAUUUAGUUCUGGGAUAAGGUGUGGCCGUGCCCACCAGGCCUUUGUGACCCGCAGUGAAAUCGUGACCAGAGGCCAUUGUGAUGCAGGUCCACGCAGUGACUGUGUGGGUAACAAAUGCCUGGAGUGGCCACUCUCAGGAGAGCAGCUCUCUGAGGAGGCAGCAGCUUCUCUGGAGGCAGCAGCUCCCCUGGGUGAUUGUGGCCAGUGUUCCUCAGAGCACUCCCACAAUGGCAAGGAAGCAGGAGGCAAAUGCCCACAACCAGCCCCGUGAGGGGCAGCCACUGCUGUACCUGCGGCGACAGGUGAGCCACAGGCAGCCAGAGGCAGCAGAACGGGUCACCUGGACAACCAUCACAUCCAUCCCUGGGGACAGGCCGACUCUGUUGCCCAAACCCAUCCGGUGCCAGAGCCCCACCAGGUCCUGCUCUCGCAGGCGCAGGCAGGAGGGCGGGCACUCAGUGCC
rnacentral:lncRNA from 1 species